UUCCUGGUGGCUCAGAUGGUAAAGAAUCUGCCUGUAAUGCAGGGAACCCAGGUUCAAUCCCUGGGUUGGGAA
rnacentral:tRNA from 1 species